CCUACGGGGAGCAGCAGUGGGGAAUAUUGGACAAUGGGCGAAAGCCUGAUCCAGCCAUGCCGCGUGUGUGAAGAAGGUCUUCGGGUUGUAAAGCACUUUCAGUGGGGAAGAAAGCCUUGGGGCUAAUACCCUCGAGGAAGGACAUCACCCACAGAAGAAGCACCGGCUAACUCCGUGCCAGCAGCCGCGGUAAUACGGAGGGUGCGAGCGUUAAUCGGAAUUACUGGGCGUAAAGCGCGCGUAGGCGGUCUGAUAAGCCGGUUGUGAAAGCCCCGGGCUCAACCUGGGAACGGCAUCCGGAACUGUCAGGCUAGAGUGCAGGAGAGGAAGGUAGAAUUCCCGGUGUAGCAGUGAAAUGCGUAGAGAUCGGGAGGAAUACCAGUGGCGAAGGCGGCCUUCUGGACUGACACUGACGCUGAGGUGCGAAAGCGUGGGUAGCAAACAGGAUUAGAUACCCCGGUAGUC
rnacentral:rRNA from 1 species